rnacentral:rRNA from 1 species
UACGGGGGGGGCAAGCGUUGUUCGGAAUUACUGGGCGUAAAGGGCUUGUAGGCGGCCAGCUAAGUCAGACGUGAAAUCCCUCGGCUUAACCGGGGAACUGCGUCUGAUACUGGAUGGCUUGAGUUCGGGAGAGGGAUGCGGAAUUCCAGGUGUAGCGGUGAAAUGCGUAGAUAUCUGGAGGAACACCGGUGGCGAAGGCGGCAUCCUGGACCGACACUGACGCUCAUGAGCGAAAGCGUGGGGAGCGAUCCGG